rnacentral:pre_miRNA from 1 species
UAUUAAAAUUUUUUUAUUUAUUUCCACUGUUAAAAAUCGGCUUUACUGACAGUAACUAGACAAUUACAUAUGGCAUGCUACAUAUAUCUCAUGCUAAUGUAUAAAGACUAGGUUUUAACUGUAAAAAUGAAUGAUUUUUUUAACC